rnacentral:rRNA from 1 species
UGGGGAAUUUUGGACAAUGGGCGAAAGCCUGAUCCAGCCAUGCCGCGUGCAGGAUGAAGGCCUCCGGGUUGUAAACUGCUUUUGUACGGAACGAAAAGACUCUGGUUAAUACCUGGGGUCCAUGACGGUACCGUAAGAAUAAGCACCGGCUAACUACGUGCCAGUAGCCGCGGUAAUACGUAGGGUGCAAGCGUUAAUCGGAAUUACUGGGCGUAAAGCGUGCGCAGGCGGUUAUAUAAAGACAGAUGUGAAAUCCCCGGGCUCAACCUGGGAACUGCAUUUUGUGACUGUAUAGCUAGAGUACGGCAGAGGGGGGAUGGAAUCCCGCGUGUAGCAGUGAAAUGCGUAGAUAUGCGGAGGAACACCGAUGGCGAAGGCAAUCCCCUGGGCCUGUACUGACGCUCAUGCACGAAAAGCGUGGGGAGCAAACAGGAUUAGAUACCCUGGUAGUCCACGCCCUAAAACGAUGUCAACUGGUUGUUGGGUCUUCACUGACUCAGUAACGAAGCUAACGCGUGAAGUUGACCGCCUGGGGAGUA